rnacentral:rRNA from 1 species
GACGAACGCUGGCGGCGUGCCUAAUACAUGCAAGUUGAGCGCUGAAGGUUGGUACUUGUGCCAACUGGCUGAGCAGCGCACGGGAGAGUAACGCGUGGGGAAUCUGCCUUUGAGCGGGGUACAACAUUUGGAAACGAAUGCUAAUACCGCAUAAAAACUUUAAACACAAGUUUUAAUGUUGAAAGAUGCAAUUGCAUCACUCAAAGAUGAUUCCGCGUUGUAUUAGUUAGUUGGUGAGGUAUAGGCUCAUCUAGGCGAUGAUACAUAGCCGACCUGAGAGGGUGAGCGGCCACAGUGGGACGGAGACACGGCCCAUAGUCCUACAGGAGGGAGCAGGAGGGAAACGUCGGCAAGGGACGAGAGUCUGACCGAGCAACGCCGCGGGAGUGAAGAAGAUUGUCGGAUCGGAAAACUCGGUUGGUAGGGAAGAAAGUGGGUGAGAGUGGAAAGCUCAUCAAGUGACGGUAACUACUCAGAAAGGGACGGCUAACUACGUG